GUCAGGCGGGGCCACCCGCCGAGUUUAAGCAUAUAAAUAAGCGGAGGAGAAGAAACUUACGAGGAUUCCCCUAGUAACGGCGAGCGAACCGGGAUCAGCCCAGCUUGAGAAUCGGGCGGCCGCGCCGUCCGAAUUGUAGUCUGGAGAAGCGUCCUCAGCGACGGACCGGGCCCAAGUCCCCUGGAAAGGGGCGCCG
rnacentral:rRNA from 1 species